rnacentral:misc_RNA from 1 species
GAUGCAAUAGCAGCAGCUGAAGAGAGGAUAGUUUCAGAAAGAUUAAGGCAAAAACUCAACGAAGUUAAUGUAGCUGCCCAAACCCAACUCGCCGGCAUUCAAGACCACAUUGCUUUCACUCUUCAGCAAGCUUAUUACAGAUGUGCUUACGAAUGCUUUGAUAGGAGAAGAAAUCAAGAGGAGAUAGGGCGAUGUGUGGAGCAUUGCAGUGUUCCUGUGCACAACGCUCAGAAUCUUUUCCAGAAUGAAAUGGCCAAGUUUCAGGAAAGACUGAACAGGUCUCUCAUGGUGUGCCAAGACAAGUUUGAGAGUGCCAAACUCCAGAAGAACAAAAGCAACGCCACAAUGGAACUGGAAUCAUGUGUUGACCAGUCCGUUCACGACAGCAUCAACGUAUUGCCCCAUCUUGUUGACAAACUAAAGGCUUCUCUCGGCAUCAACAAUUGAAGAAAAUGUAGGUAGCAUCGCCAUGAAUUUGACGAGAAACGAGGGUUUUUCUUUUUCACUUUGGAAAUGUUAAAAGUUUUCAUAAACAGUUUUUGCUUAGAUGAGUUAAAAGUAAUGGAAAUCAACUCAAGAUGUAACGCAAAAUGAAUUUCAGUAUUGCAGACUAAAAAUCAGGUGGCUCCUGAAGUUGCUUAAUUUAAGGGAGACUGUGCAUUGC